rnacentral:rRNA from 4 species
UGGGGAAUAUUGGACAAUGGGGGCAACCCUGAUCCAGCCAUGCCGCGUGAGUGAUGAAGGCCCUAGGGUUGUAAAGCUCUUUUGUGCGGGAAGAUAAUGACGGUACCGCAAGAAUAAGCCCCGGCUAACUUCGUGCCAGCAGCCGCGGUAAUACGAAGGGGGCUAGCGUUGCUCGGAAUCACUGGGCGUAAAGGGUGCGUAGGCGGGUUUUUAAGUCAGGGGUGAAAUCCUGGAGCUCAACUCCAGAACUGCCUUUGAUACUGAAGAUCUUGAGUCCGGGAGAGGUGAGUGGAACUGCGAGUGUAGAGGUGAAAUUCGUAGAUAUUCGCAAGAACACCAGUGGCGAAGGCGGCUCACUGGCCCGGUACUGACGCUGAGGCACGAAAGCGUGGGGAGCAAACAGG